UCAGGUAAGGACAUCAGCUCUCCAUUCUGUAUCUUCAGGUAAGGACAUCAGCUCUCCAUUCUGUAUCUUCAGGUAAGGACAUCAGCUCUCCAUUCUGUAUCUUCAGGUAAGGACAUCAGCUCUCCAUUCUGUAUCUUCAGGUAAGGACAUCAGCUCUCCAUUCUGUAUCUUCAGGUAAGGACAUCAGCUCUCCAUUCUGUAUCUUCAGGUAAGGACAUCAGCUCUCCAUUCUGUAUCUUCAGGUAAGGACAUCAGCUCUCCAUUCUGUAUCUUCAGGUAAGGACAUCAGCU